rnacentral:rRNA from 1 species
GACGAACGCUGGCGGCGUGCUUAACACAUGCAAGUCGAACGCUGAACCCGCUUCGGUGGGGGAUGAGUGGCGAACGGGUGAGUAACACGUGGGCAACCUGCCCCCGGCUCUGGGAUAACUCCAAGAAAUUGGGGCUAAUACCGGAUGUGACCGCUGGCCGCAUGGUCUGGUGGUGGAAAGGGUUUCCGGCUGGGGAUGGGCCCGCGGCCUAUCAGCUUGUUGGUGGGGUAGUGGCCUACCAAGGCGACGACGGGUAGCCGGCCUGCGAGGGUGACCGGCCACCCUGGGACUGAGACACGGCCCAGCCUCCUACGGGAGGCAGCAGUGGGGAAUAUUGCGCAAUGGGCGGAAGCCUGACGCAGCGACGCCGCGUGGGGGAUGACGGCCUUCGGGUUGUAAACCUCUUUCAGCAGGGACGAAGCGCAAGUGACGGUACCUUCAGAAGAAGCUCCGGCCAACUACGUG